rnacentral:rRNA from 2 species
UACGGAGGAUCCAAGCGUUAUCCGGAAUCAUUGGGUUUAAAGGGUCCGUAGGCGGCCUUAUAAGUCAGUGGUGAAAUCUCCUAGCUCAACUAGGAAACUGCCAUUGAUACUGUAGGGCUUGAAUUAUUGUGAAGUAACUAGAAUAUGUAGUGUAGCGGUGAAAUGCUUAGAUAUUACAUGGAAUACCAAUUGCGAAGGCAGGUUACUAACAAUAUAUUGACGCUGAUGGACGAAAGCGUGGGGAGCGAACAGG